GCUAGGUAUCAUUUUUUUGUCUUCAAUCCCAGUGCUAGGUAUCAUUUUUCUGUCUUCAAUCCCAGUGCUAGGUAUCAUUUUUCUGUCUUCAAUCCCAGUGCUAGGUAUCAUUUUUCUGUCUUCAAUCCCAGUGCUAGGUAUCAGUUUUCUGUCUUCAAUCCCAGUGCUAGGUAUCAGUUUUCUGUCUUCAAUCCCAGUGCUAGGCACUCGUUUUUUUUCUGGUUUUUUUCUUCUGUUUUUGUUUUUUUUCUCUUCCCUAUGCCACAUGUGCUCCCUCUCCGGCCCCUAGAUCACCAGGCUGCUCAUUAUGGCGCACACCUGUCACCAUCGUUACACGCAUCAGACUCACCUGGACUCCAUCACUUCCCUGAUUACCUUCCCUAUAUAUGUCACUCCCUUUGGUUCCUUCCCCAGGCGUUAUUGUUUCUGUUUCAUGUCUGUGCGUUGUUCGUGUUUCUUGUUUUGUGUUAUGUUUCGUUUAGUUAUUUAAACACUCACUGUAUUGUGUGUGUAUUGUUUUUUUUGUGUCAGGUGGAAUGACGUUGGGUUUGGGAGUUGCUACAGGCUUUCAUGUCUCAGCCAGAUCACCAGGCCCCUUUGCCUCUGCCGGCUCAUCAGGCUCUCAAGCCUCAGCCGGAUCGCCAGGCUCCCCUGCCUCAGCCAGCUCGUCGGGCUUUCAUGCCUUCGUC
ensembl:lncRNA